rnacentral:lncRNA from 1 species
CUCUGUAUCAGCCGGAGCUGCCUCCAUGCCUUGAGGUUUGCAAGCUCUCCUUCAUCCUCACCACUUGCAAGCUGCAUCAAGCUACUUUUUUUCAUCACUAAUUAUGAAAAGUUGCAAGUUUUGAACACAGUAUGUUCACUUUGUAUUUAGGUCCUUGUAUUUGUAUUCUCUCAAAGUUUUUCAACCAACAUGUUCAGGGAAAGGCCAUCAGAGUGGAGUUUGGCGAUUCGACGACGACCAUCGACCCGACAUGCGCAAAUAUGGUUGUGCAGGAAUUUCCCAACACCUUUGGUCAGCCUCUGGUACAUUUCCUGAAGCCGAACAAGAUGGAUGCGCAAGCCAACGAUGAACAUCCACCAAUCAGGUUCGUUUUCCUUUUUCAGAAUGGUGCUAAACCCCAUCCAUUUUUCAGUUGAGAAAAAAAAUCAGAACAAAUCAAGUUUGGCUUGAACACCGAAUUAGUGUGAUAGCAACUAGUGUCAAUUCUUUAUCAUUGAAAACUUGAUAUUUGAUCUAUCAACACACAAUUCUCAGGCUUGAUAUUUACUUGAAUCUAGGGUUGGUGUGGUGUUCUCUGGGAGGCAAUCGCCAGGGGGGCACAAUGUGAUAUGGGGCAUCUAUGAUGCUAUGAAAACUCAAAAUCUACAAAGUGUUUUGCUUGGAUUUAUUGGUGAGUAAUUGAGCAUACUUUCAAUUUCUAGAUUUUAAAUGGACUAACAAGAAGCAGUGUGAUAUUUACAUUAUUGGAUUGCUUGUUGUGACAUUUAUUGGCUUAGUAUAUAUAUAUUGAUUUCCUGCAAAAAGAUAUGAUAAAAAUAAGUCUCAUGAAGAACUUUGUAUUUCUAAAUAGGUGGCACAGAAGGCCUAUUUGCAAAUCAGACAUUGGAGAUCACAGAUGAUGUUCUUUCAGCAUAUAGAAACCAAGGUUUAAAUUUAUUGAUCUUGAUUGCUAGCUUUCUAAAUAUAUUAUGGCCUAUAUAACAAGAAAGUCUUUACCUUCUUGAAGGUGGUUUUGAUUUUCUCGGCAGAACUGUUGAUCAAAUCCACACAACUGAGCAAGUGAAUGCUGCAAUGUCAACAUGCUGUGAUCUUGACUUGGAUGGCCUCGUCAUCAUUGGAGGUACUAAUAGGUUAUACCAGCAAAUUUGCUGAUGAAAAAAAAAAACAUCACAAUGGAUUUUACAUGAGCACUUCCAUGCCAUUUCAAUCUAGAGUGAAUAAAGAGCUGUGAAAAAAUUGGGGUUACAUGAAAAUAAGGACCAAGCAAUCAACCUUAUUUCAAAAACAUUCUCUGCCUUAAGGACUUGUGUAAUUCUUGAUGUUAUCUUGUCUUCAGGGGUGACCUCCAAUUCAGAUGCUGCUCAGCUUGCAGAAACAUUUGCCAAUCACAACUGCAAGACAAAGGUAUAUACACAUUGUUAAUUCCACAUCCUCACAUUGGAAUAUAACUCCCAUUUUCAGAUCUUUAUCCUGUUUGACAGGUUGUAGGCGUGCCUGUUUCAUUAAAUGGUGAUCUCAAGAAUCAGUUUGUUGAGACAACUGUUGGGUUUGAUACAGUGUGCAAGGUGAGUCUUGCAGGCUAUGCAGCAAAUAAAAUUCCAAUUUAAAGCUAAGACAGUAUCUACAGUUCCCCAAAAAAAAUUAAAUGAAGGAUACAAGUGUACGAUUCCCCCAAAAAAAUUAAAUAAAGGAUACAAAGUGUUACAUCAUGACAUGUUUUUUUAAUGUAAAUGUCUUCUAUGAAAAUGUCUUUUCAGGUGAAUUCCCAGCUUAUAAGUAAUGUUUGCCUCGAUGCAAUCUCAGCUGGGAAGGUACACUCUAUUAUAGUCUAUCAUAAUAAAUUGGACUUAUUAGGAUCACUUAUUAUUUAUCUAAUUUAUAUAAUUUCCCUGCAGUACUACCAUUUUGUCCGUGUGAUGGGUUGGAAAGCAUCUCAUGUUGCCUUGGAGUGUGCACUUCAAUCACAACCAAAUAUGGUCUGCCUUGUCGCCUUGAUCAAAUGCAUCGUAAAAUCUAGCAUAAGUGAACAGUUGUAGAAUUAUUUUUAUAAUUGUACAUUUUCACAUGCAGGUUAUUUUAGGGGAAGAAGUGGCAUUUUCCAAGCUCACUUUGAAGGAAAUUAUAAGCAAGAUAUGUGAUGGAGUGCAAGCAAGGGCAGCACAAGGUCUCUACAAUUCAUUGGCUGUCUUAAGUUGAUGAAUUCUCACUAAAGACUGAAUUGUGCAUAUAUCAAUUAAAUAGAAACAUGAGGUAACUUUGUGACAAUCUAAUAUAUUGGAUAUAAUUUUUCAGAGAAGUACCAUGGUGUAUUACUUAUUUCGGAGGGACUAAUCGAAAGCAUUCCAGAAAUGUUUGCACUUAUUCAGGUUUAUACUUGUUACUACAAUAAAAUGCAGUGACAUCUCAUUUCUAUGAAAUCUUAUUGGUUUCCUUUAUGCGUAUUGUAGGAAAUUAAUAUUCUCCACAGCAAUAAAGUUCCUGAGAACAACAUUCCAUCUCAACUUUCUCCAUGGGCUACUGCCUUGUAUAAUUACUUGCCUCCUUUCAUAAGAAGAGAGGUAUUGGUGUAUUAAAUUACUAACAUAAUUUAUUUUAUUAAUAAAAAUUGUGGUCUGAAGAUUUGGAACUUUCUGUUAUAGUUGCUGCUACAUCAAGACUCCGAUAACUCAGCACAAUUGUCCCAGGUUUGUGUUUUCUGGAAUGCUCAGCAGUCAGUUAUUCAUGGAAAUGCAAUUUUUGAUGUCAAACUUUUUAUUGAAAUUUUCAGAUUGAUACUGAGCAACUCUUAGCUCAUUUAGUAGAAGCAGAAAUGAACAAGCGAAUGGUAAGUUCAGUUAAAACUUGAGCUUUAUGUGCCCAGUUCAGUAUUCAGUUCUUUUUUUUUUUAAUUUGAUUGUGCUUGAUUCUCAGAAAGAGGGGAAAUACAUUGGAAGGAAAUUCAGCUCCGUUUGCCACUUUUUCGGGUAUCAAGCGCGAGGAUCCUUACCAUCAAACUUCGAUUGUGAUUACGCCUAUGUAAGUAGUAAACCUGAACUAUGUUCGUCACAAAUAAAAGAUAUAUAUAUAUAUAUAUAUAUAUAUAUAUAUAUAUAUAUAUAUAUACACACACACACACACACACACACACACACAUGCUAUAGGCUCUAAACCUUGAAGAAUGCAGGUUCUUGGUCAUAUCUGCAUGCACAUACUAGCAGCUGGGCUGAAUGGUUACAUGGCUUUUGCAACAAAUCUGAAGGAACCAACAAACAAAUGGCGAUGCGCUGCCGUUCCUCUAACAGUAUGCUUUUUAGUUGACUGUAUUGUUUUCAUUAAUUAUGCUCAUUUAAAAUGUUCGAGUUUGUGACGUGAUACACUGUUUCUAAAUCUUACCAGGCAAUGAUGAGUGUGAAGAGGCACUCACGCAGUCCUGGAGCUGUUCCUACUGGAAAGCCAGUUAUCCAUCCUUCUCCAGUUGACCUGCAAGGGAAGGCUUAUGCGUAAGUCCAUAGUUAACAGCCUUAAAACUAUUAAUUUGCUGCUUCAGGCAAAAGACUGAACACUGACAUCCAUGAAUCUCAUUCAGUGGCUUGUCAUAAAAAAAUCAUGUGUUGAUUCCUCCGGUAAAAUGUUAAUAAUAUUGCCACAAAAGUUUUUAGUUAAUGAGGCAACAGUAAGAUGAUAUAGAAUUAGUUUAGAUUAACUCUGCAUAAUAUGUAGACACAUAAAUGCAUCAUUUUUUGUGUUAAUAUCAUUGAUCUUUUACAGUGACUCUUCAGAUUAUAAGGCAGAGGAAAACUAUAAACUAAUUCUUGUUUCUCUCAUUACUCUAGGCUCCUGAGAGAGAAAGCCUCGAGCUUCCUAUUAGAUGAUUUCUACAGAACUCCAGGGGGCAUUCAAUUUGAUGGAUCUGGAACAAAUGUUAAGCCAAUCACACUGACUGUCGAAGACCAAGACUACCUGGGUGACAUUGAGCUACUGCAAGACUACUUGGAGAAGGUUUGUCAACAAAAUCUGAACCUGUUAACUUCAUAAGAGCUAAAAAAAAAAUUCAGUACCUGUAGUUGAAGCUUGUCAAACUGAUAUCCCAGGUGAGGAACAUUGUGAAGCCCGGAUGCUCGAGGGAGAUCCUGAAGGCGGCGAUAAGCUCGAUGUCAUCAGUGAAGGAUGUGCUGAAGGUUAUGUCGGCUCCCU